AGCGAACGCUGGCGGCAGGCUUAACACAUGCAAGUCGAGCGGGCGUAGCAAUACGUCAGCGGCAGACGGGUGAGUAACGCGUGGGAACAUACCUUUUGGUUCGGAACAACACAGGGAAACUUGUGCUAAUACCGGAUAAGCCCUUACGGGGAAAGAUUUAUCGCCGAAAGAUUGGCCCGCGUCUGAUUAGCUAGUUGGUGAGGUAACGGCUCACCAAGGCGACGAUCAGUAGCUGGCUGAGAGGAUGAUCAGCCACAUUGGGACUGAGACACGGCCCAAACUCCUACGGGAGGCAGCAGUGGGGAAUAUUGGACAAUGGGCGCAAGCCUGAUCCAGCCAUGCCGCGUGAGUGAUGAAGGCCCUAGGGUUGUAAAGCUCUUUUGUGCGGGAAGAUAAUGACGGUACGCAAGAAUAAGCCCCGGCUAACUUCGUGCCAGCCGCCGCCGUAAU
rnacentral:rRNA from 1 species